GAGGCAUUUGAAGAUUCAGAGGCAUUCGAAGAUUGGGAGCAUUUGAAGAUUGAGAGCAUUUCAGAGAUCAAGAAGAAUAGAAGAUUUUUGAAGUGAAGAUCAAGCGACAAUGAAGUUCGUGAUCAAGCGGCAACGAAGUUCGUGAUCAAGAUAUCAAGCGAAGUUCGUGAUCAAGAUAUCAAGCGAAGUUCGUGAUCAAGAUAUCAAGCGAAGUUCAUGAUCAAGAUAUUGUGUUCGUAAUCAAGAUUAAGUCGUGAAGACCCUUGAAGCGAAGAUCAAGUGUUCGUGAUCAAGAUUAAGUCGUGAAGACCCUUGAAGC
rnacentral:lncRNA from 1 species